rnacentral:rRNA from 1 species
ACGCACGCUGGCGGCGUGCUUAACACCUGCAAGUCGAACGAUGAAGAAGAGAAACGCGAACUUCGGUUCAAAUUUCACUUCGGAUUAGUGGCAGACGGGUGAGUAACGCGUGAGCAACCUACCUCUUACAAAGGGAUAGCCUCGGGAAACCGUGAUUAAUACCAUAUGACACAUUCAUAAGGCAUCUUAAGAAUGUUAAAGCUACGGCGGUAAGAGAUGGGCUCGCGUCCCAUUAGCUAGUUGGUGAGGUAACGGCCCACCAAGGCGACGAUGGGUAACCGGCCUGAGAGGGUGAACGGUCACAUUGGAACUGAGACACGGUCCAAACUCCUACGGGAGGCAGCAGUGGGGAAUAUUGCACAAUGGAGGGAACUCUGAUGCAGCGACGCCGCGUGAGCGAUGAAGGAAUUCGUUUCGUAAAGCUCUGUUCUAUGGGAAGAAAAGGACUGUACCAUAGGAGAAAGCCCCGGCUAAAUACGUG